GCCCAAACUCCUACGGGAGGCAGCAGUAGGGAAUUUUCGGCAAUGGAGGAAACUCUGACCGAGCAACGCCGCGUGAACGAUGAAGUAUUUCGGUAUGUAAAGUUCUUUUAUUGAAAGAAGAAAAAAUAGUGGAAAAACUAUCUUGACGAUAUUCAAUGAAUAAGCCCCGGCAAACUAUGUGCCAGCAGCCGCGGUAAUACAUAGGGGGCGAGCGUUAUCCGGAAUUAUUGGGCGUAAAGGGUGCGUAGGCGGUUUGGUAAGUCUAUAGUUUAAUUUCAGUGCUUAACACUGUUCUGCUAUAGAAACUAUCAGACUAGAGUGAGAUAGAGGCAAGUGGAAUUCCAUGUGUAGCGGUAAAAUGCGUAAAUAUAUGGAGGAACACCAGAGGCGUAGGCGGCUUGCUGGGUCUUUACUGACGCUGAGGCACGAAAGCGUGGGGAGCAAACAGGAUUAGAUAC
rnacentral:rRNA from 1 species